rnacentral:misc_RNA from 1 species
GAUGAAGAACGUAGCGAAAUGCGAUAAGUAAUGUGAAUUGCAGAAUUCAGUGAAUCAUCGAAUCUUUGAACGCACAUUGCGCCCGUCAGUAUUCUGGCGGGCAUGCCUGUUCGAGCGUCAUUACGCCCCUCAAGUCCCCUGUGGACUUAGUGUUGGGGAUCGGCGAGGCUGGUUUUCCAGCACAGCCGUCCCUUAAAUUAAUUGGCGGUCUCGCCGUGGCCCUCCUCUGCGCAGUAGUAAAACACUCGCAACAGGAGCCCGGCGCGGUCCACUGCCGUAAAACCCCCCAACUUUUUAUAGUUGACCUCGAAUCAGGUAGGACUACCCGCUGAACUUAAGCAUAUCAAUAAGCGGAGGA